GUGGGGAAUCUUCCGCAAUGGACGAAAGUCUGACGGAGCAACGCCGCGUGAGUGAAGAAGGUUUUCGGAUCGUAAAGCUCUUUCGUUAGGGACGAACGUGCUCUUUGUGAAUAAUGAGGAGUAAUGACGGUACCUAAAUAAGAAGCCACGGCUAACUACGUGCCAGCAGCCGCGGUAAUACGUAGGUGGCAAGCGUUGUCCGGAAUUAUUGGGAGUAAAGCGCGCGCAGGCGGGAUAUCAAGUCUGUCUUAAAAGUGCGAGGCUCAACCUCGUGAGGGGACAGAAACUGGUAUUCUUGAGUGUAGGAGAGGAAAGUGGAAUUCCAAGUGUAGCGGUGAAAUGCGUAGAGAUUUGGAAGAACACCAGUGGCGAAGGCGACUUUCUGGACGAUGUCUGACGCUGAGGCGCGAAAGCUAGGGGAGCGAACGGGAUUAGAAACCCUAGUAGUCC
rnacentral:rRNA from 1 species